rnacentral:rRNA from 1 species
CCUACGGGAGGCAGCAGUGAGGAAUAUUGGUCAAUGGACGAGAGUCUGAACCAGCCAAGUAGCGUGAAGGAUGACUGCCCUAUGGGUUGUAAACUUCUUUUAUAUGGGAAUAAAAUGUUCCACGUGUGGGAUUUUGUAUGUACCAUAUGAAUAAGGAUCGGCUAACUCCGUGCCAGCAGCCGCGGUAAUACCGAGGAUCCGAGCGUUAUCCGGAUUUAUUGGGUUUAAAGGGAGCGUAGGUGGAUUGUUAAGUCAGUUGUGAAAGUUUGCGGCUCAACCGUAAAAUUGCAGUUGAAACUGGCAGUCUUGAGUACAGUAGAGGUGGGCGGAAUUCGUGGUGUAGCGGUGAAAUGCUUAGAUAUCACGAAGAACUCCGAUUGCGAAGGCAGUUCACUGGACUGCAACUGACACUGAGGCUCGAAAGUGUGGGUAUCAAACAGGAUUAGAUACCCCUGUAGUC